AACGCGAAGAACCUUACCUACCCUUGACAUCUUCGGAAUCUAGCAGAGAUGCUGGAGUGCCUUCGGGAGCCGAAAGACAGGUGCUGCAUGGCUGUCGUCAGCUCGUGUCGUGAGAUGUUGGGUUAAGUCCCGUAACGAGCGCAACCCUUAUUCUUAGUUGCCAACAGGUAAAGCUGGGAACUCUAAGGAGACUGCCGGUGAUAAGCCGGAGGAAGGUAGGGACGACGUCAAGUCAUCAUGGCCCUUACGGGUAGGGCUACACACGUGCUACAAUGGGCGGUACAGAGGGAAGCGAAGCCGCGAGGUGAAGCGAAUCUCACUAAAGCCGCUCGUAGUCCGGAUUGGAGUCUGCAACUCGACUCCAUGAAGUUGGAAUCGCUAGUAAUCGCGGAUCAGAACGCCGCGGUGAAUACGUUCCCGGGCCUUGUACACACCGGUACUA
rnacentral:rRNA from 1 species